GACAGAGGAUGCAAGCGUUUAUCCGGAAUGAUUGGGCGUAAAGCGUCUGUAGGUGGCUUUUUAAGUCCGCCGUCAAAUCCCAGGGCUCAACCCUGGACAGGCGGUGGAAACUACCAAGCUGGAGUACGGUAGGGGCAGAGGGAAUUUACGGUGUAGGCAGUGAAAUGCGGUAGAGGAUCGAUAAGGAAGGCCAGUGGCGAAGGCGAGUUCCUGGACAGUUACUGACGCUGAGGCACGAAGGCCAGGGGGAGCAAACGGGA
rnacentral:rRNA from 1 species